CCCUUAGAUGUCCUGGGCUGCACGCGCGCUACACUGAAAGUUACGGAUUGACUUUUUACCUUGUCCGAAAUGGUCCGGGUAAUCACCUAAAAGCUUGUCAUAAUUGGAAUGGAUUAUUGUAACUAGUAAUCCUGAACGAGGAAUUCCUAGUAAGUCCCAGUCAACAGCUUGCGUUGAUUACGUCCCUGCCCUUUGUACACACCGCCCGUCGCUACUACUGAUUGGAUGUUUAAGCGAGGUUCUCGAACUGCUAGCGACUUAGCUUCGGUGAGGUCGCAGUGUGGGAAGUGAACCUAGCUUUGGUGUCUAGAGGAAGUAAAAGUCGUAACA
rnacentral:rRNA from 1 species